rnacentral:rRNA from 1 species
AAAGUACCAUAAGCAAAUUAAGAGCGCAUGGGGAAUUCCUCGGCUCUCAGAGGCGAAGAAGGACGUGACCAGCUGCGAUAAGCUGCGGGGAUCGGCACAUACGAAAUCAUCCGCAGGUUUCCGAAUGGGGCAACCCACCAUAUUGUAGAUAUGUUAUCCGCAAGGAGGCGAACCCGGGGAACUGAAACAUCUAAGUACCCGGAG